rnacentral:lncRNA from 1 species
CUUGCCUGUGUGUGCAGGUGCAAGUGCACAAGUGCAUGUUUGUGGGAAGGCCCAGAGGUUGGAGUUGGAUGUCUUUCUCCAUAACUCUUCAUCAUAGAUACUGAUGCUGAGCUUGGAGCUCGCCACUUCAGCCAGUCCAGCAAACCAGUUUGCCCCUGGGUUCCCUUGUUUUCAUCUCCUGCACACUGAGAUUACAGGUAACCACAGCUACUUUGUACAAUGUACAACACAGAUGACAUAUACAACAGCCAUGUGAUGUCUAGAAGACAACAUGUCAUGACUUUCCUUCUCACCUGAUACUCUUUCUGCCCCUCUGUGAUGUUCCCUGAACCUUGGAUGAUGGUGGUGUGUGUUUCAUCUGCAGCUGAGCACUUAACACUUCAAUACUAGCCUUCAGCAGCAUGGCCUCACCAUCUAGCUAUGAUUGACAAACAAUGGCAUGGUGGUUUGCUGUGGAUUUUUGGGGGGUGGGGUCUUCUGUCAUCUCCCUGACCAAUAUCUUAUAGAGAUUAUCCUGUGCUAGCAUUGAGAUUUACAUUAAAAAAUCAUUGUCUUGCCGGGCGUGGUGGCGCAUGCCUUUAAUCCCAGCACUCAGGAGGCAGAGGCAGGCGGAUUUCUGAGUUCGAGGCCAGCCUGGU